rnacentral:misc_RNA from 1 species
UUUCCGUAGGUGAACCUGCGGAAGGAUCAUUAUUGUAUAACCGAGGUGCGAGGGCUGUCGCUGACCCGAAAGGUCGUGCACGCCCGAGUGCCCUCACACACAUCCAUCUCACCCCUAUGUGCACCACCGCGUGGGUCCCCCUUUGGCUUGUUCGGAGGGGGGCUUACGUUUUCACACAAACUUUGUAUGCGAUGUAGAAUGUAUUUUUUGUUUUUGCGAUCACGCAAUCAAUACAACUUUCAACAACGGAUCUCUUGGCUCUC